ensembl:ncRNA K01A2.15 ncRNA
UCUAGAAUAUUCUAAAUUCAAGUAAUUAGAAGUAGUUAGACGACGUCAGACAGACGGGCGUAUCCAAUUGACUAACAAGCUUCUUCUU